UUGGUUAAGUUAGAAAGGGCGCACGGUGGAUGCCUUGGCACUAGGAGCCGAAGAAGGACGGGACUAACACCGAUAUGCUUUGGGGAGCUGUACGUAAGCGUUGAUCCAGAGAUUUCCGAAUGGGGGAACCCACUAUCUUUAGUCGGAUAGUAUCCUUACGUGAAUACAUAGCGUGAGGAAGGCAGACCCAGGGAACUGAAACAUCUAAGUACCUGGAGGAAGAGAAAGAAAAAUCGAUUUCCUGAGUAGCGGCGAGCGAAACGGAAAGAGCCCAAACCAAGAAGCUUGCUUCUUGGGGUUGUAGGACACUCUAUACGGAGUUACAAAAGAAAGUUAUAAAUGAAGCGGUCUGGAAAGGCCCGCCAAAGACGGUAACAGCCCGGUAGUUGAAAUGGCUUUCCCUCCAGAGUGGAUCCUGAGUACGGCGGAACACGUGAAAUUCCGUCGGAAUCCGGGAGGACCAUCUCCCAAGGCUAAAUACUCCCUAGUGACCGAUAGUGAACCAGUACCGUGAGGGAAAGGUGAAAAGCACCCCGGAAGGGGAGUGAAACAGUUCCUGAAACCGUGUGCCUACAAGUAGUUAGAGCCCGUUAAUGGGUGAUAGCGUGCCUUUUGUAGAAUGAACCGGCGAGUUACGAUUUGUUGCAAGGUUAAGCGGAAAAAGCGGAGCCGUAGCGAAAGCGAGUCUGAAUAGGGCGCAUAAGUAACAGGUCGUAGACCCGAAACCAGGUGAUCUACCCAUGUCCAGGAUGAAGGUAAGGUAAUACUUACUGGAGGUCCGAACCCACGCACGUUGAAAAGUGCGGGGAUGAGGUGUGGGUAGCGGAGAAAUUCCAAUCGAACUUGGAGAUAGCUGGUUCUCUCCGAAAUAGCUUUAGGGCUAGCCUCGAGGUAAAGAGUCAUGGAGGUAGAGCACUGUUUGGACUAGGGGCCCUUCUCGGGUUACCGAAUUCAGAUAAACUCCGAAUGCCAUGUACUUAUACUCGGGAGUCAGACUGCGAGUGAUAAGAUCCGUAGUCGAAAGGGAAACAGCCCAGACCACCAGUUAAGGUCCCCAAAUAUAUGUUAAGUGGAAAAGGAUGUGGGGUUGCUUAGACAACCAGGAUGUUGGCUUAGAAGCAGCCACCAUUGAAAGAGUGCGUAAUAGCUCACUGGUCGAGUGACCCCGCGCCGAAAAUGUACCGGGGCUAAACAUAUUACCGAAACUGUGGAUGAACCUCUUUAGAGGUUCGUGGUAGGAGAGCGUUCUAAGGGCGGUGAAGUCAGACCGGAAGGACUGGUGGAGCGCUUAGAAGUGAGAAUGCCGGUAUGAGUAGCGAAAGAAGGGUGAGAAUCCCUUCCACCGAAUAUCUAAGGUUUCCUGAGGAAGGCUCGUCCGCUCAGGGUUAGUCGGGACCUAAGCCGAGGCCGAUAGGCGUAGGCGAUGGACAACAGGUAGAGAUUCCUGUACCAGUGCUAAUUGUUUAACCGAUGGGGUGACACAGAAGGAUAGGGAAUCGCACGAAUGGAAAUGUGCGUCCAAGCAGUGAGUGUGAGAAGUAGGCAAAUCCGCUUCUCGCGAAGCAUGAGC
rnacentral:rRNA from 1 species